rnacentral:rRNA from 1 species
GUGAGGAAUCUUCCACAAUGGGCGAAAGCCUGAUGGAGCAACGCCGCGUGAAGGAUGAAGGUCUUCGGAUUGUAAACUUCUUUUAUGAGUGAAGAAUAUGACGGUAACUCAUGAAUAAGCACCGGCUAACUACGUGCCAGCAGCCGCGGUCAUACGUAGGGUGCAAGCAUUAUCCGGAGUGACUGGGCGUAAAGAGUUGCGUAGGCGGUUAUGUAAGCGAAUAGUGAAACCUGGUGGCUCAACCACACAGACUAUUAUUGGAACUGCAUAACUCGAGAAUGGUAGAGUUAACUGGAAUUUCUUGUGUAGGAGUGAAAUCCGUAGAUAUAAGAAGGAACACCAAUGGCGUAGGCAGGUUACUGGGCCAUUUCUGACGCUAAGGCACGAAAGCGUGGGGAGCGAACCGGAUUAGAAACCCUUGUAGUCC